GACGAACGCUGGCGGCGUGCCUAAUACAUGCAGGUAGAACGCUGAAGGAGGAGCUUGCUCUUCUGGAUGAGUUGCGAACAGGUGAGUAACGCGUAGGUAACCUGCCUGGUAGCGGGGGAUAACUAUUGGAAACGAUAGCUAAUACCGCAUAAGAGUAGAUGUUGCAUGACAUUUACUUAAAAGGUGCAAUUGCAUCACUACCAGAUGGACCUGCGUUGUAUUAGCUAGUUGGUGGGGUAACGGCUCACCAAGGCGACGAUACAUAGCCGACCUGAGAGGGUGAUCGGCCACACUGGGACUGAGACACGGCCCAGACUCCUACGGGAGGCAGCAGUAGGGAAUCUUCGGCAUGGACGGAAGUCUGACCGAGCAACGCCGCGUGAGUGAAGAAGGUUUUCGGAUCGUAAAGCUCUGUUGUAAGAGAAGAACGAGUGUGAGAGUGGAAA
rnacentral:rRNA from 1 species